UACGUAGGGGGCAAGCGUUGUCCGGAAUCAUUGGGCGUAAAGCGCGUGUAGGCGGCCAGGUAGGUCUGCUGUGAAAACUCGAGGCUUAACCUCGAGAUGUCGGCGGAAACCAUCUGGCUAGAGUCCGGAAGAGGAGAGUGGAAUUCCUGGUGUAGCGGUGAAAUGCGCAGAUAUCAGGAAGAACACCAAUGGCGAAAGCAGCUCUCUGGGACGGUACUGACGCUGAGACGCGAAAGCGUGGGGAGCGAACAGG
rnacentral:rRNA from 1 species